CCUAUUAGUAUUAUCAAAAUGGCGAUUAAGUAUUUAAAAAUAUUGUUGACCUAUUUAUUUUUGUGGGUGUGUGGGUGUUACUGUGUGUGUGACCCAGAUGCUUCGACGUCUCAAGCGAAAUAUAGCUAGUUCAUGCAAGUUGUUAACAUAUUGGAAAACAAUGUUUUGAUACAUAAUUCCACAUUUGUUUAAGAACUAGUUUUAUAACCAAACACAAACAAAAGAAUUUCUGUUAAUAAUAAUGAUACCGGUAGUAAACAAAUGAUUUUUAAAUUUUUUUUUUUUUUUACUCGUAUUUUCUUAAGAUCGCUAGGAUUGGUCAACAAUGACGUAAGUUAAGUUUAAUCCAAUCGUAGCCUUCGUCUCAUGUUAUGGCCGCCAUCUUUGUCUUUUCGCUAACUUGAUUGAUACUGUCAAUGAAAACAGUUUAAGUUUAAGAGCCUGUAAAUUAAUAAUUCACCAGUGCCGGUAUGUGAAAAAUGUGUCGAGACAAGAUGAAAAAUUCAAAUUUUAAAGUAAAGAAUUCAAAGAUGUGUAUGACAUGAUGCGAAAAACUCAUUACGGUACCUUAUACAUGUAUGGUGAGCUUGUGACCCGGAUGGAUGAAUGAUAGAAAUACAAAUAAUGAGUGCUGUAUACAGUAUUUGGUAUAAAUCAGUCAUUGAAAGUCAUUACAGCUGAAGAUUUUAAUGCCGCCCAGUACCGGUUAAUCAAACCAGAAUGACAACACCUAUGAAUGUGGCCGAAUAAGGUGUGGAGGUGAUUAAUUGCAACAUUGAAUGCGGGUUGAAUAUGGUGUGUUAAAGAUGCAAGAAAACACAUGAAAUGUGUAAACUGUAAUGGAUUAUAGCCUGGCGCUAUCCAAAUUACAAAACACCUGCCCUUGAGUCUAUGAUUAUUUAUAUUUUAUGGCACCAGAAUGACAGCACGUAUGAAUGUGGCCGAAUAAGGUGUGGAGGUGAUUAAUUGCAACAUUGAAUGUGGGUUGAAUAUGGUGUGUUAAAGAUGCAAGAAAACACAUGAAAUGUGUAAACUGUAAUGGAUUAUAGUCUGGUGCUAUCCAAAUUACAAAACACCUGCCCUUGAGUCUAUGAUUAUUUAUUUUUUAUGGCACCCACAUUUUCAUGUCGCUGCCCCUGUGCGUCCAGAUGUACCUCCGGUGAAAUUUGUUUGUGGACAACUCUACUGGUCACAAUUAUCUUAUUUUAAUGAAAUUUAAAUGUAUAUUUAUAUUCAAAUCAUCUGGGAUCGGAUUCAUUUUGAACACUAACCUCAUGGAUUAUGGCCCCUUAUAUUGUGCAAAAAUUGGGUUUUUAGAAUGUAGGCCAUCCAGAUGAUUUUGGCAUAUAUUGGACCGUAUCUUCCUAGAAUAUUACACCUGAUUGUACGAUCCAUUGUUUUUAACUUCUGGAUCCUCUAGAAUUCUCAGUUUUAUAUGCCAACAUUUCCCAUGCCCGAAUUAACCCCUCUUUGCAGAAGAUUUGGCUUUCGAGUUCAGAGUUAUGUCCCAUAGCCAAAAACUUUGAAUUUGAUAGGAGUUACAGUUUUUAACCGAUCCUUUUCAGAUUUAGUGUGAAGCAUUGGAUUCAUGAGAUCACAAACCCCCACGAUAUGCAGCGAUUCGAAGAUAACCUUUUCAAAAAAGCAUGUGAAUGUGAUGAGGCUACAAUUUUUUAAUUUGCCGUGUAGCAUUGGGACCCCGAGAGGACAAAUCCUAUAAAUUUCAGCAAUCCACACUUAACCCACUUUUUCGGAAACCAUGUGAACGUGAAAAGGCUAAAAAAAAAUUUUAACAGAUUUUUUUCUAAUUCUAUAUGAAACAUUGGGACAAUGAGUGAUUAGCCUAUUGAUAUUCCUUAUUCUCUUUUGCAAUAUGUGGGGGUAUCUUAGAUGGC